CCCUUCUUUCCAACAAGCAUCCUGCUAAAAUCACUAGUGCAGAGCCUUGUGGCUCAGCAUUUGGUGUUGAUGGCAGCAGCGAUAUUCUAAAGAAGGGAGAGAAAAGGCACAGAAUCGAAUAUGAGGAGGGGAGGGACCUCUUUCUUAAUGUCCAGUGUCCCCAUCCUCGAGGUGAUGUGCAACAACU